ensembl:lncRNA
CAAGUUGCAACUGACUCAAACUUUCUGAGCCACAGAAAUGGACUUCCGGGAGUUCAAAAUCUUUUUCAAGCCUCUCCUUCUGGCUAAAGGUAUAACCUUUAAUAAGGAUUGUUUAGCAAGCCUAGAAGCUUCCGGUUGGUAGAAUCUAGACAGAGAGUAGAGCAAAGAGACAGCCCUGCUGGAAUCUGACAAAGAGAAGAUGAACAAAAUGGAGACUCACAAACAAGAUGAAACAUGAAGCAUAAUGCACUAAUUUGGGAGAUUGUUUUUCCACCAUGAAGACAAUUGGACAUUGCACUACCUGAGGACCCAGCUAUACCUCUCCUGGGCAUAUACCCAAAAGAUGCUCCAACAUACAACAAAGACACAUGCUCCACUAUGUUCUUAGCAGCCUUAUUUAUAAUAACCAGAAGCUGGAAAGAACCCAGAUGCCCUUUAACAAGACAAUGAAUACAGAAAAUGUGGUACAUCUACACAAUGGAGUACUACUCAGCUAGCAAAACAAUGACUUCAUGAAAUUUAUAGGCAAGUGGAAUGAACUAGAAAAUAUCAUCCUGAGUGAGGUAACCCAAUUACAGAAAAAAUCCACAUGGUUUGCACUCACUGAUAAGUGGAUAUUAGCCCAAAGCUUGAAUUACCCAAGAUGCAAUUCACGGACCAUAUGAAACUCAAGGAGGAUGACCAAAGUAUGGAUGCUUCACUCCUUAAAACAGGAUACAAAAAUAUCCAUAGAAAGGGAUAGGGAGGCAAAGUUUAGAGCGAAGACUGAAGGAACAGCCAUUCAGACUUGUCCCACAUGUGGCCCAUAUAUAUAUAUAACCACCAAAACUAGAUAAAAUGGAUGAAGCUAAGAAGUUCAUGCUGACAGGAACCAGAUAUAGAUCUCUACUGAGAGACACAGCCAGAGCAUGUAAAAUACAGAGGCAAAUGCUAGCAGCAAACCACUGAACUGAGAACUUGACCCCCAUUGGAAGAAUUGGAGAAAGGAUUGAAGAAGCUGAAUGGGCUUGCAACCCCAUAAAAACAACAAUGCCAACCUAUCAGAGCUCCCAGGGACUAAACCACUACCCAAAAAGGCUAUACGUGGACUGACUCAUGGCUCCAACUGCAUAUGUAGCAGAGGAAGGCCUUGCUGGGCACCAAUGGAAGAAGAAGCCCUUGGUCCUAUC